rnacentral:rRNA from 1 species
GCGUAACACCGGGCGUGAAGCGGGGGUAAGACGGGGGGGGGAAGGGGUAUGCGGAAUUAGUGGGCGUGAGGCGUCCGGAGGGGGCGAGGCAAGUCUGCGGGCAAGGAGUGGGGCUUAACCCUGGAAAGGCCGUGGAAACUGACGAGCUAGAGUGCAGUAGGGGUAGAGGGAAUUCCCGGUGUAGCGGUGAAAUGCGUAGAGCUCGGGAAGAACAUCGGUGGCGAAAGCGCUCUACUGGACUGCAACUGACACUCAGGGACGAAAGCUAGGGGAGCGAAUGGGAUUAGAUACCCUAGUAGC